rnacentral:rRNA from 1 species
UACGUAGGUGGCAAGCGUUGUCCGGAUUUACUGGGCGUAAAGGGCGUGCAGGCGGUUUGUUAAGUGCAGAGUGAAAGCUCCCGGCUCAACUGGGAGAGGUCUUUGCAUACUGGCAAACUCGAGGGAGGCAGAGGAAAGUGGAAUUCCCGGUGUAGUGGUGAUAUGCGUAGAUAUCGGGAGGAACACCUGUGGCGAAGGCGACACGCUGGGCCGUACCUGACGCUAAAGCGCGACAGCAUGGGGAGCAAACGGG